rnacentral:lncRNA from 1 species
GACUGAGCUGUUUAGUCUAAGGCCCUAAAGAAGUCACAACAAGACCUCUCCGAGACUCGGGGAGAGUUAGGGGCUAUGGAGUUUAUGCGCAAUACUGAACAUGCCAAGGUUAAGCUCAAGGAUGGUGUGAUUGAGGGGCUUACUCGUGAACUCAAAUCCACCGGAGAGUCCUUUGACUCGGCGAUGUUUGAACGAGAUCGCCUUACGGUGCGAUUAAAUGAAGAGCACAUGGAGCGGGAAGUGUUGCAGAAGAAGUAUAAUGAGACUUCCCAUCAGCUGAGUGACAGAGAAAUGGAU